rnacentral:rRNA from 1 species
AGGAACAAGGUUUCCGUAGGUGAACCUGCGGAAGGAUCAUUAUCGAGUUUUGAACGGGUUGUAGCUGGCCUCUCACGAGGCAUGUGCACGCCUGGCUCAUCCACUCUUAACCUCUGUGCACUUUAUGUAAGAGAAAAAAAUGGUGGAAGCUUCCAGGAUCUCGCGAGAGGUCUUUGGUUGAACAAGCCGUUUUUCUUUCUUAUGUUCUACUACAAACGCUUCAGUUAUAGAAUGUCAACUGUGUAUAACACAUUUAUAUACAACUUUCAGCAACGGAUCUCUUGGCUCUCGCAUCGAUGAAGAACGCAGCGAAAUGCGAUAAGUAAUGUGAAUUGCAGAAUUCAGUGAAUCAUCGAAUCUUUGAACGCACCUUGCACUCCUUGGUAUUCCGAGGAGUAUGCCUGUUUGAGUCUCAUGGUAUUCUCAACCCCUAAAUUUUUGUAAUGAAGGUUUAGCGGGCUUGGACUUGGAGGUUGUGUCGGCCCUUGUCGGUCGACUCCUCUGAAAUGCAUUAGCGUGAAUCUUACGGAUCGCCUUCAGUGUGAUAAUUAUCUGCGCUGUGGUGUUGAAGUAUUUAUGGUGUUCAUGCUUCGAACCGUCUCCUUGCCGAGACAAUCAUUUGUACAAUCUGAGCUCAAAUCGAUAUAUGACCUUCUUCAUUUCA